AGGAAGAAACAUGUCCCUUCUGCCUUUUCAGGUUUUCUCUUUCUGUCACUCCUACUGGUACAACACAGUGGGAAGCAGCUAACCAAGGACAACGGAUGUUUGCAGAGUCCCACCCCCAGCAUCUGAAAGCUGAACAUGGAAAGAUACUGGGAUGGAAACAAAAUUCCUUGGCAUGGCUCUCAGGCUUUUCAUGAUCUCCUCAUCCAGCUUUUGAGACUUACCUGAGAGAUGUGAGAUGAUGGAUAUGUUAAUUUGCUUGGUUACAUAGGCAGUUUCUGUCUUUUGUUGGACUGGGUUCUUGUGACGAAGGAAGCCGGAAGCUGCCGUGAGCCACGAUGCAGAUCCCUGAAUGUGGCCCACAGAGAAGGCCAGCGAAGAGCUGGGUCCUGCUGACAUCACGUGAGGUCUACAUCAUCUGGAACUGAAGUUAAACCAGACUCCUGAGCUGUCUGAACUCUACAUCUUCCAGCUGAAGCCAGUUUAAGUUGGGUUUUCUGCGACCUGCCACAAAGAUGUUGAUAAAGCAUACGGUAGUGGGGCUUGGACUUGAAAGAGAAGUGUGUCUUCAUAGGUAAAGGUGAGGUCACUAGCUUCCAGACAUUUUUAAUUUACAUACAAGCUUCUGCACCUGACAGUGUUCAAUGUAGUUUUCAAGUUGGGCUAAAAUACUGAUUCAAAAGAUGCUGGCAUCGGAAGUCCUCACUGUGUUCAUUAAGCUGCCCACAUACGCUUAAAUCAUUGUAGAAAUCCAAAGUAAUCAAAACUGGAAAGGGCAUUUCUGAGCACUUUAACACAUUUUCUUAUGUAACCCAUUCACUUUCCCUGGUGACAUCUCCACUGGCAAUCUGCAUUACACUUUAAAGUCUCUGUAGUUGGCUUAUUUUUUCACUUCACAUUUCUGGACU